rnacentral:rRNA from 1 species
GUGUCAGCAGCCGCGGUAAUACGUAGGGGGCAAGCGUUGUCCGGAUUUAUUGGGCGUAAAGCGAGCGCAGGCGGUUUGCUAAGUCUGAUGUGAAAGCCCCCGGCUCAACCGGGGAGGGUCAUUGGAAACUGGGAGACUAGAGUGAAGAAGAGGAGAGUGGAAUUCCAUGUGUAGCGGUGAAAUGCGUAGAUAUAUGGAGGAACACCAGUGGCGAAGGCGGCUCUCUGGGCUGUAACUGACGCUGAGGCUCGAAAGCGUGGGGAGCAAACAGGAUUAGAAACCCGAGUAGUCC